rfam:Paenibacillus sp. IHB B 3415 contig_024, whole genome shotgun sequence.
UGAAUUCGAAUAUGCUUACCGUAGACAGUAGGUGCCGUAGGGCUUAAUUUCCUACCGAGGUGUUGUGAUAGAAACAAAAAGUAACAGGUUCGCCUGACUGCUUUCCGUUUUAUCAAGCCUUCGUGAAUCUGCGGAGGCUUUUCUAAUGCCUGC